rnacentral:lncRNA from 1 species
AAUUAAACUGACUGCCCCUGCACAGUGCUAAAGCAAAGCUUCAACUGUGAUUGGUAGACAUAAAAUUAGGGGAAGGCACAGGAAGUGACACAAAAGAAAGUGUCUUUAAAAGGGAGUUACAUCUUCCUGAGUGGAGUUCAACUUGGACUUUGGCUUCUUCUUGUGUUGGAAGUUGAGAUUGGAGAAGAAUCUGCUAACUGGACCUGAGACCUUGUUUCUGGGGAGGCUGUUCUUAGAUCUUCUCCUUUAGACUGACAGGGCUCUCACACAAUAAUGAAAGUGGUCCUAAGCCUCGAUAAAAGAAGCUCCAUGGAGAUACUAUAAUGAUGGAAGAUGAAUAUGAAAAACAAAGAAUUCUUGAAAGACCUAUGGGAAAUAAUGAAAAGCAGAGUAACGAUAGACUGUGACUAUAGAAAGGUACAAGCAGUGGACUUCCUAGACUGUGGAAGAUCAUGAUGCUCCUAAGGAUUUUGUGUAUGUUGUGGGGGAUCCGGUGUUUGUAUUAAUUUUGACUGUGACUAUGCCCUUGAAAUAAAUAGUCAUUUAUAAAAGUUAAUCUAUUAAGU